CUCUAGGGAACCUUUGAUGUCGUCUACCUGGGAGACUGCGCUUCGUCCUUGACACAGCUUGUGCUGCAGAGUCCUGACCUCCAGGUUCCAAAAUGAUCCUAAAGAUGCUGCCGUCUCCCAAACCAGAAUUCUAGUUGUUGGCAGGAUUCACCAUUGAGUUUAGAAAACUACAGGCUUACAGAUCCCCAUCAACCAACUUUAUCCUUGCUUAAUUUACCCAUCUCUGUAGGCCACAAUGUCCAGACUACACAAAAUUUGAAGUCCUUUCUCCCUGACUCCACACCCUGCUUUACAAAAACACACCAUUUGCAGAUCAAAGAGAGACGAUUUAUGCUUUCAUCCAGCUGAUGGACGAUUAAAUUAAAACAGAUCAGCAGUGCAGUGCACGGGCAGGUGGCUCCCACCACCACUGUCGGCCUCAGAGCGAUUAAAUUGUGGCGGAGAUGGAGGGCCUUCUGCUCCCAUUCCCGCACUUACAGAUCAAACGGUGACAAAUGAGAUGUUACCGCUCUUGUAAAGCAGGGCGACAAUCUGUCAAAAUCCAACAUAAUUUGUGACCCUCUGUGACAUCCUCUUUCUCUCUUUUUUUUUUUUUUUUUUGACAUUUGAAUACAGUGAUUGUACUUGAGUCAAGUCCAUUUAAGUGAAUAUAGUCAAUUCUAUCUAAAGGAAUACAGCCUGUUAGCGCCAACAUGGUAGCUGAAUAUGUAUCUGGCUUUAAUGCCUGUCAUCACUCUAUUGUUACCCAGAUGAGGAAAGGGAGAAUAUGAGCCUCAAGACCUACAGACCUUGUCUAUUAAAGCCAGGGUCUCAAGCCAGUCCGAACACAUAAGAAGAGCCAUGAAUUUACUUUCUACAGCCAGGAAAAGGCAUUUCACCCCCAAAAAGGGAUCCAGCGUCUAUGGCCAGCAGCUCUACUGUGUCAGGAGUUACUAGAGGGUCGCUGCAGUGGAUGAUCACAGAAGAAAGUCUACAGUAAGUCCCCUACACACGAACCUUCAAGUUGCGAACUUUCAAAGAUGUGAACGUGCAUUCGCAUGUCUAAUCACGUAUGGCGUGAGUGAAACUGCAGCUUGCCCUCUGUCUCCUAUUGUUGACGAUCCUUCAGCUCUACCAUCUCCCACCUUCUC